rnacentral:tRNA from 1 species
GCAUCCGUAGCUCAGCUGGAUAGAGUACUCGGCUACGAACCGAGCGGUCGGAGCUUCGAAUCCUCCCGGAUGCACCA